rnacentral:misc_RNA from 1 species
UCUCCGUUGGUGAACCAGCGGAGGGAUCAUUACCGAGUUUACAACUCCCAAACCCCUAUGUGAACGUUACCAAACUGUUGCCUCGGCGGGAAAUUCAUGCCCCGGGCGCGUCGCAGCCCCGGACCAAGGCGCCCGCCGGAGGACCAACCAAAACUCUUUUGUAUGUCCCUCGCGGACUUUUAUAAUUCUGAACCAUCUCGGCGCCCCUAGCGGGCGUUUCGAAAAUGAAUCAAAACUUUCAACAACGGAUCUCUUGGUUCUGGCAUCGAUGAGAACGCAGC